GGGGGUAUAGCUCAGUGGUAGAGCAUUCGACUACAGAUAAAGAGGUCCCGGUUCAAGCCCGGAUGCUCCCU